CAAACGGCUCUUUUUAGAGCCACCCAUUUUACAAAAAGAGAACUA
rfam:Ciona savignyi cont_34787, whole genome shotgun sequence.